UACGUAGGGGGCAAGCGUUGUCCGGAAUCAUUGGGCGUAAAGCGCGUGUAGGCGGUUCGGCAAGUCUGCUGUGAAAGUCCAGGGCUCAACCCUGGGAUGCCGGUGGAUACUGUCGGACUAGAGUACGGAAGAGGCGAGUGGAAUUCCCGGUGUAGCGGUGAAAUGCGCAGAUAUCGGGAGGAACACCAAUUGCGAAGGCAGCUCGCUGGGACGUCACUGACGCUGAGACGCGAAAGCGUGGGGAGCAAACAGG
rnacentral:rRNA from 1 species